rnacentral:rRNA from 1 species
AUUGAACGCUGGCGGCAGGCUUAACACAUGCAAGUCGAGCGGAGAGAAGUAGCUUGCUACUGAUCUUAGCGGCGGACGGGUGAGUAAUGCUUAGGAAUCUGCCUAUUAGUGGGGGACAACAUUUCGAAAGGAAUGCUAAUACCGCAUACGUCCUACGGGAGAAAGCAGGGGAUCUUCGGACCUUGCGCUAAUAGAUGAGCCUAAGUCGGAUUAGCUAGUUGGUGGGGUAAAGGCCUACCAAGGCGACGAGCUGUAGCGGGUCUGAGAGGAUGAUCCGCCACACUGGGACUGAGACACGGCCCAGACUCCUACGGGAGGCAGCAGUGGGGAAUAUUGGACAAUGGGCGGAAGCCUGAUCCAGCCAUGCCGCGUGUGUGAAGAAGGCCUUAUGGUUGCAAAGCACUUUAAGCGAGGAGGAGGCUACUUUAGUUAAUACCUAGAGAUAGUGGACGUUACUCGCAGAAUAAGCACCGGCUAACUCUGUGCCAGCAGCCGCGGUAAAAC